rnacentral:rRNA from 1 species
GACGAACGCUGGCGGCGUGGAUUAGGCAUGCAAGUCGAACGGUAGGAUACCUUCGGGUAUCUGAGAGUGGCGAACGGGUGAGUAACACGUAGGUGAUCUACCCUCAAGAUUGGGACAACCCGAGGGAAACUUGGGCUAAUACCGGAUGAAAGCAGCAGUGAUGUUGUUUGAAAGGUGGCGUAAGCUGCCGUUUGGGGAUGAGCCUGCGCUCUAUUAGUUAGUUGGCGGGGUAAAGGCCCACCAAGGCGAUGAUAGAUAGGCGGCCUUAACGGGUGGUCGCCCACACUGGGAUUGAGAUACGGCCCAGACUCCUACGGGAGGCAGCAGUGAGGAAUAUUGGUCAAUGGGCGAGAGCCUGAACCAGCCAAGUCGCGUGAAGGAAGAAGGUUCUAUGGAUUGUAAACUUCUUUUGCAGGGGAAUAAAGGACGGUACGUGUACUGUUUUGUAUGUACCUUGCGAAUUAAGGAUCGGCUAACUCCGUGCCCAGCCGCCGCGGUAAGCUGUAGUCGU